GAGGGUAUAGCUCAGUGGAACAGUGCGUGCUUAGCAUGCAUGAGGUCGUGAGUUCAAUCCCCAGUACCUCCA
rnacentral:tRNA from 1 species